rnacentral:rRNA from 1 species
UGGGGAAUAUUGCACAAUGGGCGCAAGCCUGAUGCAGCGACGCCGCGUGGGGGAUGACGGCCUUCGGGUUGUAAACCUCUUUCACCAGGGACGAAGCGCAAGUGACGGUACCUGGAGAAGAAGCACCGGCCAACUACGUGCCAGCAGCCGCGGUAAUACGUAGGGUGCGAGCGUUGUCCGGAAUUACUGGGCGUAAAGGGCUUGUAGGUGGUUUGUCGCGUUGUUCGUGAAAUGCCACAGCUUAACUGUGGGCGUGCGGGCGAUACGGGCAGACUGGAGUACUGCAGGGGAGACUGGAAUUCCUGGUGUAGCGGUGGAAUGCGCAGAUAUCAGGAGGAACACCGGUGGCGAAGGCGGGUCUCUGGGCAGUAACUGACGCUGAGAAGCGAAAGCGUGGGGAGCGAACAGGAUUAGAUACCCCCGUAGUCC